CCCUUGGCUACUCGACCUACCUGAGGCCUCAGGGCCGGGGGAGCACCUGACCCGAACAGCCUCUGAGCUCGCGAGGCCCUCAGCACUGCCCGGCGAGAAGACAGCAAGCGGGGCUCGCGCCGCGGCCUCGACCUGCUCUGAGAAGAACCUCUCGGUCCUCUGGAGGACCACGGGCAGCACCCGGAGAACUCACGUGACCCCCUUCCCGAAAACAGCGGCUCCCGCCCGCCUCCGCGCGGGCCGCCGGCCCAGAUUCCCUGCCAGGAGGAGGGAGGGGCUGGGCCGCCGCCGCUCCCGGAAGUGACGUCACGUCGAGGGCGCCCGCCUCAGGGGCGUGAGUCGUGGUCUCAGGGGUCCUCGGCGCCUGGGUCGAACGUAGUUUGUGGUAAGAAUUUUACCUUCUUUCCCAUAGCUUUAUUUUUACCAGUUAACUUUUGAGACGUGGAGGCCACGGUC
rnacentral:lncRNA from 1 species